AUCAAUAAGCGGAGGAAAAGCAACCAACCGGGAUUCCCCCAGUAACGGCGAGCGAAGCGGGAGCAGCUCGAGCAGGCAAUCUCUGGCGUCGAUCGCCAGCGAAUUGUGGCCGGCAGAGGCGGGUGCACCUGACGCGGUUCCGUCGAAGUUGACCUGGAAGGGCACGUCGGAGAGGGUGAUAGCCCCGUGCGCGGCGGAGUCGUCGACGGUCGCUACCGUCUUCGGAGAGUCGGGUUGUUUGGGAGUGCAGCCCAAAGUGGGUGGUAAACUCCAUCUAAAGCCAAAUAGCGGCACGAGACCGAUAGCGAACAAGUACCGUGAGGGAAAGGUGAAAAGCACUUUGGAAAGAGAGUUAAAGAGGCCGCGAAACCGUUGGGAGGGAAACGAAUGCAGCCGGACAGGCCGGCGCCGAGUUCAGGUGGACGCGUGGAGUCCGGCGCUCGGUGGUCACCCUCGCGGGUCCGCCUCGCGUCGCGGCUGCUCGCUCCUCCGCACUCUCGGCGACCGCGGUCGGCCAGGUGCGGCGGGCGACGGUCGAGGAGAGCGUGUCGGGUAGGUGGCGCAGCCGUCUCCUCCGGGAGGCGGAGGCGAACUUAGAGCCGGCCGUUCGGAUUGUCCGACGCCCGCCGAGGAGAGCGGUGGCACUUGCACCCCAGCAGCGCAGGCCUUCCCUCGGGUCGGCCGGGGCGCUCUCGUCCGUCCGACGUCCGCGUCGAGGUCCCUGCACGCAGUGCCCGGCGUCGGUCGGCGACCGGGCGGGAGACCGUCCACGCCUUGCGCUUCGGUCGCCUGGCAAGCCGUCNGCUGC
rnacentral:rRNA from 1 species